CAGAAUAUAAUGCCAGAGCUUCCUUCAGCGUUGCAAACAGCGAUUGGGUGAGGUAACUUAACGCAUCGUGGAGGAAAGAGAUUUGCCGGAACAGUUAAUUGUCCAACUGUUGCUACAAACUUCGCUAUGUGGACAGGAAGACUUGGUAAGGAGGCUAAUCCUAUUUUGGUCAAACAGCUUCGUUUCCGAUCAGCAAAUUGUUUCGCUCCAGUUAAUUUCGUUUUCUGUUCGUCCAUUCUUUGAUCUCAUUAAUUUUUAUAUCGAUAUUCUAUCAGCGACAAUUAUAUUAUAGGAAAACUGCAUCUGUCGUGGAUGGACCAUUUGCUUCAACAGCAAGCUAUAAAGUGCUUCCAUUGGCAAGUCUACUCGGCAAAAUGUCUUUUGUCUUGUCAGCAAAACAGAUUUUCCCCGUGACGUCGAACAAUUGUAUGUUGAAAUUUGUUUGCUCUCGCAUGAAAUAUCAGCAGUCCACAGCGAUUAGAUGUCGGUUCCCACAACGAUCAAAUAUCAGCUCCCGCGACAAUCUGGCAGCAAUAUACAUAGCAAACAUAUGUAAUUUUGCUGCGAUUAUCAAGUUAAAUUGUUUUCCUCCUCGACUCGCGCGCGAAUCGUGCCGUCUCGCAAGUGCGCGCUUUGACGCGCGCGUCACCGGGUAUCGUGCUACAUCCAGGCCCAUGUAUCAAACCCGCAAAUGUGCCCUAUCGAGACGUGAGAUGAAGCGUUUGUGUAUACGGGAGGAGUGCUGGGGACGAUAAGAGGAGGAAAGCCGGAGUGUCGCGUUGCAGAGAAGGCGAGAUCUGAAAGGUCAGGUAAAUAGAACUUAUUGAUAAGAAUAGGAGAGGACCUUACGAGCGCGAAUUCGAAGAGUGGGAGGAAAUCGUGUUACGCACGGUGCCCGGACUGCCCGACGGGUCUUUUCUUUCUUUGAAUGGAUAGCGGGAUCAGGUCGGAGCAAAAAUUUCCAUCGCGAACAAAGAGCGAAUAAACUCGAUAUUCUCUCGUCUCUGCGAAAGGUGAAAAAGAACCGCGGCGUUCGAAGACGCGCUUUCCCACUAUAAAAAUUUUUCGUAUUAAAAUUGCACCAAGUCCCACCGAAUAAAUAUUCUCGUAUUAGUUUCUCGUGCAAAAAAAGAGAAGAGGGAGUCUUCGCUCGUUAGCGCGUGUUAAAAAAUCAUUGUUUCUUUCGUAUCUGCCUUUGAGCGAAGAAAGUGACGUUUAAUUAAUAAGAAACAUGAGAUGCACUUCAGACGGCACAGUCCGGCGAUACAUCUACUCGAUGUGUACUCCAAUGACGGCCUCAAGGGUAGCUCGUUGCAAUCUACCGUGGUCACCUAAUGAGCAAACAGUUUAUCUCCCUAAAUUAACUGUUCGCAGGUGACACGCGCGGGUCAAUUUCGGGCUGCAUCCCGAGAUUCCUUAUGAUGUACGUGAUACGCGUGAACGCCGAGUGUGCGCCGUUGGAAUAAUAUUUUGCUGUGCUGCAUGCGACGAGCGCGAACGGUGUAUAUACAAUUGUAGCACGCGGAUCGGGGCAAAUAGGCAACCUGUUGCUGAUUCGCCGACGCUCACACAGUUGAUGAACCCCGGUAAUCGUGUUUUAUGUAUGCCGUGCGUCGCAUACCGGGAGACAGGUGGGAUACACAUAGACACGUGUUACGACGCCGGAAGUAAAAUUCGCUUGAAUAAAAUACGCUGCACCUAGUCUCGAGAGAAUAAGCAGAAAAUACGCGUGUACCAAGAAAUCCUCCCUUACAAUAAAUAAAGGCGCCUGGAUGCACGCGCGUUUCCAGGUUGUACUCUGAAAUUCUUAUAAGCCCUCGACUUCCCGACAAAUCUCUCAAAAUGGCCGCGACUGCUCGAGGGGGACGAUGCAUUUGAAAAGUGAGAUCGAGAAACCAAAUUCUUGUGGUUUAUUUUUCUUUUUUACGUAAACUCCUUUUCUGUCCAUUUUAAACUACAUAAAAUAAUUUCUCUGUAUGUCGAAGUAGCUAAACGAGCGCUUGAAUGUAUAGCCCUUGCGCGGAUCAGAUUAGACAAUCCUGGAGACCCUGUAAGCAGAGACUGGCCAUAAGAGAGUUCGUCAAAUUCCUGCGAGUGAGAGAGAAACAUAGGCUAUCUGAUUUUUCUACGACCGUAGUAGAAUCGUAGGUAAGUGGUAAGAGAUAGCCUGUGUUUCUCUCUCACUCGCAGGAAUUUGACGAAAUCUCUUAUGACCAGUCUCUGAUUACAGGGUCGCUAGACAAUCCCUGGUGCGACCUCGCAAAUCACUUAUCCUGACGUCUACAAAGGCCUAUGCCAAAAAUAAAGAGGGCGAAGCGAGUGGAUAAGAUCGGGCGAGAUUAACGAUACGUCGGAUCUCAGAAUCGCGUGUAAAAUAACAAGAAAGUUGUUCAGGAGGCGUCUUAGAAGGAGUCGCGUGAAAAAAUAGUUCUAAGAGUUCAAAUAUUUUCUAAGAAGGUGGAGACAACGGAGAAGAUUAAAUUUAGCACGGAAGCCUUUACGUCAAUGUGGUCAAUGUGUCGCACGUCUCAGUCUAAAUUGGGAUUUAAUUAGCUUUUAACAACGCAACGUUUUGGUGGGGACGUCGAAAUUAAAACGUGAAUGUUUAGAGAGGCGAUUGUAACAUUGUUUGCGUUCGCAUAUCACCAACUGCGAACGCACGUAUGCAAAUAUUGGUGACGCAACGAAUACUACGACUCAAUGCUAAAAAUGCGUUUUCAUAUAUUUCGAUGCACGUGUGUGUAAUUAUUGUUCGCUACAUACGUGACCUACACGUUUUAGGUUCAACGCAGUUGCCGUCACGAAAAAAAACCACGCGUGGCAGCGAUAAAAAAAAAUAGCGAUGAAAAAAGCGGAUGAGAGUAGAUCGAAAUAUUCGACAGGGGGAUUCUGUCGCAUCGAAAGCUCAAAGAGAGAUAAUACCCGAAGGAAACCGCGGAAGCUUCUGUGAAGACCAAGGGACGCCAAUAUGACGAAAUAAAUAUAUGUACCUAUAUGAAAGACAAGAUAUAGGAAUACGAACAGAAUACACAUAUCGUAUAUAAGUUGUGCCCUGAAAUCCCUCCUGAAUCAUUAAUGCGCGAGUAACGUUAUGCAUACGCACAAGCACAUGUGUAUCUUGAGAGUGCUGAGUAUGUUCGAGGCCCCUCUGCCUCUCUGGCAUCACCGGAAUAAUGCAUAUCACGCGAACCGUACAUAUUAUGCGGAUCGACUCCGCGUAGCAAUCUUUGAAGGUGCGAUGAAAUAUUAAUACCGUGGACGGGCAGAGAGGAAGAGACGACGAGGCAUUCUUUCGCCACCGCGAGCGACCACACAAAUACGCAGUCCGAAAGGAUCGAAAAUGUAAAAAUACUCUCCCUCCGUAAUUUCUCCUGCCUG